rnacentral:rRNA from 1 species
UACAGAGGUGGCAAGCGUUGUUCGGAAUUACUGGGCGUAAAGGGCGCGUAGGCGGUCCCGUAAGUUCCGCGUGAAAGCCCUCGGCUCAACUGAGGAAGUGCACCCGAAACUGGCGAGCUUGAGUACGAAAGAGGAUCGCGGAAUUCCCGGUGUAGAGGUGAAAUUCGUAGAUAUCGGGAGGAACACCGGUGGCGAAGGCGGCGAUCUGGGUCGAUACUGACGCUGAGGUGCGAAAGCGUGGGGAGCAAACAGG